rnacentral:lncRNA from 1 species
CUUUACACAUCACACCAGGCAAAGGAGAAGCAAGCUCUAAAGGAAACCUAGCCAGGGAACUGAGGUGAAAAGAGCGUAUCUACUGAACCAUUUGCUUUUACAAGCCCGUGUGAGGAAGAUGAAAGAGCCAGAUUCCAGUUCUGGCUGUGUGUUUCCAGAGCCGUGCAAGUGUGGACAGAAAGGAAACGGAAACCUGGUGAAAUUGAGUGACCAAUAUCCAGGAUGUGGAAGUGGAUAUUCAUCACUGGGAUUUCCUGGUGACUCCAAAGGGUUAGGAGCUAUGCAUCCCAAUGACUUGCUGCCUGAAGAUGCUCUCACCUCAGACUGAGCUUUCCAUUCAGGUGGAAAUCAGAGUUGAGCUCUAAAAAGGUGACUCUCAGUGUCAUUAGAACUGACUGAUUUUGUUGUUGCCAAAGUAUCUUUGUUCUUCCCAUCCCCCAGCUGAAGUAGGUAAAGGAGGCAUUUGGAUAAUGGGUCACACAAAUCGCUUUGCCUGUCAUAGAGUCAAAGAGAACACAACAGCUUUGCUCUACUUUUUUGCUCUAAUCACUCAUAACACUUCCAUCCUAGAAUUUUGAAUAUUUCACAUCUAUGAAGAACAGAUUGCCUGUAGGUUUCUGUUGGG